GAUGAACGCUGGCGGCGUGCUUAACACAUGCAAGUCGAACGGAGCGCCUUUGAAAGAGGAUUCGUCCAAUUGAUGAGGCUGCUUAGUGGCGGACGGGUGAGUAACGCGUGAGGAAUCUGCCUUGGAGUGGGGAAUAACACAGUGAAAAUUGUGCUAAUACCGCAUAAUGCAAUUGGGUCGCAUGGCUCUGAAUGCCAAAGAUUUAUCGCUCUGAGAUGACCUCGCGUCUGAUUAGGUAGUUGGUGAGGUAACGGCUCACCAAGCCGACGAUCAGUAGCCGGACUGAGAGGUUGGCCGGCCACAUUGGGACUGAGACACGGCCCAG
rnacentral:rRNA from 1 species